rnacentral:rRNA from 1 species
UCACCCUCCCUAGUUUUCUCCCGCCUAUAUACCACCGUCGCCAGCUUACCCUGUGAAGGCCUAAUAGUAAGCACAAUUGGCACAGCCCAAAACGUCAGGUCGAGGUGUAGUGCAUGAGAGGGGAAGAAAUGGGCUACAUUCGCUGCCUACAGCGAAUACGAAUGGUGCAUUGAAAUAUGCAGCUGAAGGAGGAUUUAGCAGUAAGCAGAAAGCAGAGUGUUCCGCUGAAACCGGCUCUUAAGCGCGCACACACCGCCCGUCACCCUCCCCGAGCAUCUGGCCCUUAAUUUUCUUAAACCCUAACAAACGCGAAGGAGAGGAAAGUCGUAACAUGGUAAGUGUACCGGAAGGUGCGCUUGGUUAAA